rnacentral:rRNA from 1 species
AUUGAACGCUGGCGGCAGGCCUAACACAUGCAAGUCGAGCGGAUGAGGGGAGCUUGCUCCUUGAUUCAGCGACGGACGGGUGAGUAAUGCCUAGGAAUCUGCCUGGUAGUGGGGGACAACGUUUCGAAAGGAACGCUAAUACCGCAUACGUCCUACGGGAGAAAGUGGGGGAUCUUCGGACCUCACGCUAUCAGAUGCGCCUACGUGGGAUUAGCUAGUUGGUGAGGUAAUGGCUCACCAAGGCGACGAUCCCUAGCUGGUUUGAGAGGAUGAUCAGCCACACUGGAACUGAGACACGGUCCAGACUCCUACGGGAGGCAGCAGUGGGGAAUAUUGGACAAUGGGCGCAAGCCUGAUCCAGCCAUGCCGCGUGUGUGAAGAAGGCCUUCGGGUUGUAAAGCACUUUCAGUAGGGAGGAAGCGUUGUGUGUUAAUAGUACACAGCGUUGACGUUACCUACAGAAGAAGCACCGGCUAACCCUGUGCCAGCCGCCGCCGUAAGAC